GUACUUGCUUCAGCAGCACAUAUACUAAAACUGGAACAAUGCAGAGAUGGUUCGUACGGCCCCUGCACAAGGAUGACAUGCAAAUUUGUGAAGAAUGUUGAACAUGUUUUU